rnacentral:lncRNA from 1 species
CAUCAACCGGGAAGGCAAAAUGUAAAUCAGUUAGUACUCUAUGUAAGGCAAAAUGGAUAGAGCACAGUACAAUCAGGAAGGCAAAAUAGAAAAGAGAUAGUAAGAUAGAUUAAUAUAUAAUGGAUGUAUUGAUGACCAAGAUAUUCAUGUAUCUGAUACAGUAAGCGAAAGUGAAUCUUAAUGUGCAUUUAGCACAUGCGGAACGCCAAUCGAUUCAUGAUCUGCUGCAGCACUUCUAAAACAGGGAACUCAUUUGUUGUUUCUUUGCAGAUAAUUGUAUUUUAAAUGGCACAAACAAGCUCAGUUCUUGUUUGAAAGGGCACAUCACAGUAGAAUUGAUUGGAAAUCCACCUUCUUUUAUAUUUGUUUAUGCAGGGAGUGCAUAACAAUUAAAAAUUCUCCAUGCUUUUGCAAUAAACUAAAUGCGCCUGCUAUACAGUAGACUGACUUGCAUAUAGCAUAGUCAGUCUAUGCAAUUUUCCAAGUACACCUAAAAUCUUCUAUUUAUACAUUCAUAUCAUAACAGUGUAUCCACAAAAAGAACCAACAAUGCUAUGCUAAUUCUUAAUCAUGUAGGAAGGUCCUACAACCUUCAGACUACACAAGUUUGGAAAAAAACUAUAUAACAAUUUUAGUUUCUCUAUGAUUUUGGCUAUUUCAAAUUAUACUAAAUAAAAUGUCUUGCAUAACUGACCACCCAGGUCAGUGUGUGCACUUCUAAGUACAUCUAAAUUAUGCCCAAUAGGCAAACAUAGUCAGGUAACCUCAAAUUUACAUUUCACUCAACAGAACACCAUGUUUGCAAUGGGCAAUAGUUCUCACUUUCUCUAAUGCAGCUCAGUCAACACCAGUCUAUACACAUGUUGAUUAUGUAAAAAAAUCAGAAUGCAAUCCCAUAAAGACGAGCUUUCUGUCAAAAUUUCAGAAUGCAUGACCAUAUUGUCAAAAAUUUCAAAAAACAAGACACCUUUAUGCGGGCAGACAUAUAACAAUCUUGCUCAAAAUUUCUAAGAAGAGAAAUAAGAACCAUCCGAACCAUCUUGCUUGGAGCAUUAUACAAGAAAAUCUACAGUACACUGGUAUUUGUUGUUUCUCUGUAGAUAACUGAAUUUUAACCGUCAGCAACAAGUUCAGUUAAGUUCAUUUCCUAUUAAAGCAUACAGCACAGCUCAAUUUAUUUCAAAUUAAAUUCUCAUCAGAAUAUCUAAGAAGAAGAAGAAGGAUGAAGUUGCUUCAAAUCUCAUACAAGAAAAAACACAAUAAAAGGAAGCGGCAAGGAAAAGCGCUGAAAAUCGAACCUGAAGAGAAAGAUGAUCCUUUGAGCACAUGAAAUAGCAAGGCAAAUCUGACGACGAACUGAUUAGUGCGAUUUCUGAAAUAAGAAGAA